AUUGAACGCUGGCGGCAUGCUUUACACAUGCAAGUCGAACGGUAACAGGCCGCAAGGUGCUGACGAGUGGCGAACGGGUGAGUAAUGCAUCGGAACGUGCCCAGUCGUGGGGGAUAACGCAGCGAAAGCUGUGCUAAUACCGCAUACGAUCUGUGGAUGAAAGCGGGGGACCUUCGGGCCUCGCGCGAUUGGAGCGGCCGAUGUCAGAUUAGGUAGUUGGUGGGGGAAAGGCCCACCAAGCCAACGAUCUGUAGCUGGUCUGAGAGGACGACCAGCCACACUGGGACUGGGACACGGCCCAGACUCCUACGGGAGGCAGCAGUGGGGAAUUUUGGACAAUGGGCGCAAGCCUGAUCCAGCAAUGCCGCGUGCAGGAAGAAGGCCUUCGGGUUGUGAACUGCUUUUGUACGGAGCGAAAAGGCUCCCUCUAAUACAGGGGGCUCAUGACGGUACCGUAAGAAUAAGCACCGGCUAACUACGUGCCAGCCGCCGCGGUAAAAC
rnacentral:rRNA from 1 species